UGGGGAAUUUUGGACAAUGGGCGAAAGCCUGAUCCAGCAAUGCCGCGUGUGUGAAGAAGGCCUUCGGGUUGUAAAGCACUUUUGUCCGGAAAGAAAUCCUUGGCUCUAAUGCAGUCGGGGGAUACGGUACCGGAAGAAUAAGCACCGGCUAACUACGUGCCAGCAGCCGCGGUAAUACGUAGGGUGCAAGCGUUAAUCGGAAUUACUGGGCGUAAAGCGUGCGCAGGCGGUUUGCUAAGACCGAUGUGAAAUCCCCGGGCUCAACCUGGGAACUGCAUUGGUGACUGGCAGGCUAGAGUAUGGCAGAGGGGGGUGAGAAUUCCACGUGUAGCAGUGAAAUGCGUAGAGAUGUGGAGGAAUACCGAUGGCGAAGGCAGCCCCCUGGCAAGUACUGACGCUCAUGCACG
rnacentral:rRNA from 1 species